rnacentral:rRNA from 1 species
UACAGAGGUCUCGAGCGUUGUUCGGAUUCAUUGGGCGUAAAGGGUGCGUAGGUGGCUUGGUAAGUCGGAUGUGAAAUCCCGGGGCUCAACCCCGGAACUGCAUUCGAUACUGCUUUAGCUUGAGUCCUGGAGAGGAGAUCGGAAUUUACGGUGUAGCAGUGAAAUGCGUAGAUAUCGUAAGGAAGACCGGUGGCGAAGGCGGAUCUCUGGACAGGACUG